rnacentral:rRNA from 1 species
ACUUAACUGAACCUUCGGGGAACGUUAAGGGCGGCGAGCGGCGGACGGGUGAGUAACACCUGGGAAUAUGCCCUGAUGCGGGGGAUAACUAUUGGAAACGAUAGCUAAUACCGCAUAAUCUCUUCGGAGCAAAGAGGGGGACCUUCGGGCCUCUCGCGUCAGGAUUAGCCCAGGUGGGAUUAGCUUGUUGGUGAGGUAAUGGCUCACCAAGGCAACGAUCCCUAGCUGGUCUGAGAGGAUGAUCAGCCACACUGGAACUGAGACACGGUCCAGACUCCUACGGGAGGCAGCAGUGGGGAAUAUUGCACAAUGGGGGAAACCCUGAUGCAGCCAUGCCGCGUGUAUGAAGAAGGCCUUCGGGUUGUAAAGUACUUUCAGUAGGGAGGAAGGCAGAGUCGUUAAUAGCGGCAUUGUUUGACGUUACCUACAGAAGAAGCACCGGCUAACUCCGUGCCAGCAGCCGCGGUAAUACGGAGGGUGCGAGCGUUAAUCGGAAUUACUGGCGUAAAGCGCAUGCAGGCGGUCUGUUAAGCAAGAUGUGAAAGCCCGGGGCUCAACCUCGGAACAGCAUUUUGAACUGGCAGACUAGAGUCUUGUAGAGGGGGGUAGAAUUUCAGGUGUAGCGGUGAAAUGCGUAGAGAUCUGAAGGAAUAUCGGUGGCGAAGGCGGCCCCCUGGACAAAGACUGACGCUCAGAUGCGAAAGCGUGGGGAGCAAACAGGAUUA